rnacentral:lncRNA from 1 species
UGUUCAAUGACUUCAUGUAUCAUUUAACAUGCAAGAGUUCGAUUAUCGGUAUUAAUGUGAUUAUAAAUUAUACUGUAAAUUUGAUUAUCAAAAUAUUUGAAACGAUAUAUGACAUACUUAGACAUGUUUGUACUGAUACAUACAUAGCAUAAAUAUAAGCACAUACUUACCAUGAAGUACACCUUCAUACACAGUUACUUUUCAUAUACAUAAUUUCUCAUACGUGCAGAAUUUUGUAGAUAUUUUAUUCCAUUUGCAUAGUGCAUAUUUUUGCAUAAUUUAAAAAUCAGAGGAUAAAGUAAAAAAUGAAUGAAC